UACGGGGGGGGCAAGCGUUGUUCGGAAUUACUGGGCGUAAAGGGCGCGUAGGCGGCCUGCUAAGUCGGAUGUGAAAUCCCUCGGCUCAACCGAGGAACUGCAUCCGAUACUGGCGGGCUUGAGUCCGGAAGAGGCGAGUGGAAUUCCCGGUGUAGCGGUGAAGUGCGCAGAUAUCGGGAGGAACACCAAUGGCGAAGGCAGCUCGCUGGAACGGUACUGACGCUGAGGCGCGAAAGCGUGGGGAGCAAACAGG
rnacentral:rRNA from 1 species